rnacentral:rRNA from 1 species
UGGGGAAUUUUGGACAAUGGGCGCAAGCCUGAUCCAGCAAUACCGCGUGCAGGAUGAAGGCCUUCGGGUUGUAAACUGCUUUUGUACGGAGCGAAAAGGUCUGCCCUAAUACGGUGGGCUCAUGAUGGUACCGUAAGAAUAAGCACCGGCUAACUACGUGCCAGCAGCCGCGGUAAUACGUAGGGUGCGAGCGUUAAUCGGAAUUACUGGGCGUAAAGCGUGCGCAGGCGGUUAUAUAAGACAGAUGUGAAAUCCCCGGGCUCAACCUGGGACCUGCAUUUGUGACUGUAUAGCUAGAGUACGGUAGAGGGGGAUGGAAUUCCGCGCGUAGCAGUGAAAUGCGUAGAUAUGCGGGGGAACACCGAUGGCGAAGGCAAUCCCCUGGACCUGUACUGACGCUCAUGCACGAAAGCGUGGGGAGCAAACA